AUUGAACGCUGGCGGCAGGCCUAACACAUGCAAGUCGAGCGAGCGGCGGACGGGUGAGUAAUGUAUGGGGACUGCCCGAUAGAGGGGGAUAACUACUGGAAACGGUGGCUAAUACCGCAUACUAUCGGAUAACCCAUAUGGGAUUAGCUAGUAGGUGGGGUAAAGGCUCACCUAGGCGACGAGCUCUAGCUGGUCUGAGAGGAGGAUCAGCCACACGGGGAGUAAAAAACGGCCCAGCUGCCGCCGGAGGCAGCAGUGGGGAAUAUUGCAAAAUGGGCGAAAGCCUGAUGAACCCAUGCCGCUUGUAUGAAGAAGGCCUUAGGGUUGUAAAGUACUUUCGGCGGGAGGCGUUACCCGCAGAAGAAGCACCGGCUAACUCCGUGCCAGCAGCCGCGGUAAUUC
rnacentral:rRNA from 1 species